CAGGAAGGCAGCAGAGUUCACCAUGUCCCCCCAAGUUCCAUUGUAGGAAACCCCCAGGCAUGAAAUUUGUAACUUGGCCUGGAGCUGUCAGGGACCUACUGAGAGACUGCUGAGAGCAAAGGCUACGAGAACCCCCAGGAACUGUUCUGCUACAGGGCAAGUCAGUUGGGUUCACCCAUGCCUUGACUGGUGAGCAAUUCCUGGAGGGCUUGGGAUGAGCCACAUUGUAGAAUUCUUCUCCCAGUGCUUGAGCAACUUGGAAUUCACUGGGUUUGGCUACUUCUGUCCCUGGGGGUCUCCUGAAUGUGCCAUGACCUCGAGCUGCAAGCAUCCUGCUGUGUGGGGUGGAGGUCCCUUCCCACAAGCACUGCAACAGCCCUCUGCAAACACUUUUCUGACAGCUUACAUCCCAUACCAGAUCUCAGAACAUGUCCUGGGAGCCUAAUAACUCCUCCAUGCAUCUCAUCCUGGAAACGAGCAGCAAGGCUGUGCAGCAUCCUGAUGGGCCAUGCAGCUCCCCUCUGCUCUAAAGGAGGGCAUCUGAGUCACAGUUUGGCAGCAGCGAGCAUGAAUUUCCUAUCUGAAGCGGAACUGUUGUACAGAAACAUCAGCGUGUUUUGCAGUCCACAUAGUAGGUCCUGGGCAGACACUCACACACCUUUGAACUGUGAUAAGGAGAAUAUUAUUACCCUACUGGUGGCCUGGUCAGAUAAGCUGUUUGCGAAGGACAGUCUGCAUUUCUUUCAAGCUCUCAUUCUGCUGCACCAGUAACUCCAGAUUCCAUUCCCAAGGAAAUCAGCUGCUUCUUAUUUGAAACUGCAAAGAGCAAUGGACAGUUUGGGGAGAGACCACGAUUAUUCCAACACUUCUCUGCCUUCCUCUACAGCCCACGAGGAGAACGCUGAGCCAGGUUCCACCAUGUUGCACCGCUUGAGAGACCGGGAGCUGCUCCGGAAGAGAAAGGCAGAAGCCGAGGAGAAGGAUUCGAUUCAGUGGGCUCUGGGGUGAAGAGGAUAUGCUGAAGCUGGCAGACGAAAUACAAGAGGUCCUGAAUACUUCACUGGAAAAGAACGAACCAGAUAACGACAUGUACUCAUCAAGCCUAUUUUAAAGUUUUAUUUAAAAUAUAUAUGUAUUCUUCUAAUUUUUAUGACUAAGAAAUACUGAAAAGCCUUGCAGAGAGACUUAAAGUUGCUCCUUCCUCAGCAACAAUAAAAACCUGACUCUCUCUCCA
ensembl:lncRNA